UACGAAGGGGGCUAGCGUUGCUCGGAAUCACUGGGCGUAAAGCGCACGUAGGCGGUUUUUCAAGUCAGAGGUGAAAGCCCGGUGCUCAACACCGGAAUUGCCUUUGAAACUAGGGAACUUGAAUCCAGGAGAGGUGAGUGGAAUUCCGAGUGUAGAGGUGAAAUUCGUAGAUAUUCGGAAGAACACCAGUGGCGAAGGCGGCUCACUGGACUGGUAUUGACGCUGAGGUGCGAAAGCGUGGGGAGCAAACAGG
rnacentral:rRNA from 1 species